GUUUGGCCAGCUUAAUUUAUGAGAAUUAAUCACCUACCGAAUUUUGCUAUUUUCAACAAAAUUGGUAAACUAUGUUUUUGGUUUAUGUUUGUUGUUGUUUGAUGUACUUGUUAUUGAUUCUUUUGGUUAUUGUUUGGUUGUAUAACUCUAGGUUAGUAAACUUGGUCUGCUUUUGUCUCUUUUGAAUCUUGAGAAGAAAGUGAAAUUAAGUUGAUUACCAUUCAAAUGCUCUGAAAUUGGGUUUUUUAGCUGGGCGCUUAUAUUUAUAUAAAAUCCUUAUGCAGGCAUUUUUGCAAGUUUCUCUAG
rnacentral:misc_RNA from 1 species